UACAGAGGGGGCAAGCGUUGUUCGGAAUUACUGGGCGUAAAGGGCUCGUAGGCGGCCAACUAAGUCAGACGUGAAAUCCCUCGGCUUAACCGGGGAACUGCAUCUGAUACUGGAUGGCUUGAGUUCGGGAGAGGGAAGUGGAAUUUCCGGUGUAGCGGUGAAAUGCGUAGAUAUCGGAAGGAACACCAGUGGCGAAGGCGACUUCCUGGCCCGUUACUGACACUGAGGCGCGAAAGCGUGGGGAGCGAACAGG
rnacentral:rRNA from 1 species